rnacentral:lncRNA from 1 species
CGAGGGUAUCACCAGCCCAGUAGUCAACAUUUCGGUGUUGACAUGAAUAUCAAUAAUGUGGUCAUUUUUAUAAAUUUCCUGUUUACAAAACUUUGAAUUUUACGAAAAACUAAGGAUUUUCUUAUCCCAGGCAUAAAUUACCUUAGCCGUAUUUGGCUCCACUUUUUGGAAUUUUGGAUCCUCAAUGCUCUUUAACUUUGU